AUUUAGAUAGAGAUACCGAGCAGCCUGCUUCAAAGCCAGUGAACAGUUUGUGAAACCCUCGGUUUCUUUUUUAUAAAAAAAAACUUGGAAAAACAGAAGCAGCCUGAAUUGGCUAAAAGCUAGAGGUUCUCCAGCUGCUGCUAGAACUGCAAGUCUGUAUACUUCCAUAGUGCCUUCAGAACAGACAGCAGUGGUUCAAGGCAGCAGCUCACCAUGACCUCAAGGCGAUUACAGACGGCCAAGAAAUGCCAACCAAGCCAACAAUACUUCAAUUUUGUGAAUGGAAAAGAGAUCUCUCACUAGUCAUAAAAUUGCCCAACUUCACUUCUACAAUGACCAAGGGCAUUAUACUUCUCUCACUUCAAUAUCAGCCUCUACAGGUCCUUGCAAUCUCACAAGACAUGAAC